rnacentral:rRNA from 1 species
AACGAACGCUGGCGGCAUGCCUAACACAUGCAAGUCGAACGAGACCUUCGGGUCUAGUGGCGCACGGGUGCGUAACGCAUGGGAACCUGCCCUUAGGUUCGGAAUAACUCCCCGAAAGGGGGGCUAAUACCGGAUAAUGUCUACGGACCAAAGAUUUAUCGCCUUUGGAUGGGCCCGCGUUGGAUUAGCUAGUUGGUAGGGUAAAAGCCUACCAAGGCGACGAUCCAUAGCUGGUCUGAGAGGAUGAUCAGCCACACUGGGACUGAGACACGGCCCAGACUCCUACGGGAAGCAGCAGUGGGGAAUAUUGGACAAUGGGCGAAAGCCUGAUCCAGCAAUGCCGCGUGAGUGAUGAAGGCCUUAGGGUUGUAAAGCUCUUUUACCCGGGAUGAUAAUGACAGUACCGGGAGAAUAAGCUCCGGCUAACUCCGUG